AACCCUUGUCCUUAGUUACCAGCACGUUAUGUGGGCACUCUAAGGAGACUGCCGGUGACAAACCGGAGGAAGGUGGGGAUGACGUCAAGUCAUCAUGGCCCUUACGGCCUGGGCUACACACGUGCUACAAUGGUCGGUACAAAGGGUUGCCAAGCCGCGAGGUGGAGCUAAUCCCAUAAAACCGAUCGUAGUCCGGAUCGCAGUCUGCAACUCGACUGCGUGGAGUCGGAAUCGCUAGUAAUCGUGAAUCAGAAUGUCACGGUGAAUACGUUCCCGGGCCUU
rnacentral:rRNA from 1 species